AGUGAACGCUGGCGGUAGGCCUAACACAUGCAAGUCGAACGGCAGCACAGUAAGAGCUUGCUCUUACGGGUGGCGAGUGGCGGACGGGUGAGGAAUACAUCGGAAUCUACUUUUUCGUGGGGGAUAACGUAGGGAAACUUACGCUAAUACCGCAUACGAUCUACGGGUGAAAGCAGGGGAUCUUCGGACCUUGCGCGAUUGAAUGAGCCGAUGUGGGAUUAGCUAGUUGGCGGGGUAAAGGCCCACCAAGGCGGCGAUCCGUAGCCGGUCUGAGAGGAUGGUCGGCCGCACUGGAACUGGGACGCGGUCCAGGGUACUACGGGAGGCAGCAGUGGGGAAUAGUGGACAAUGGGCGCGAGCCUGAUACAGCCGGAGCGCGUGGGUGAAGAAGGCCUUCGGGUUGUAAAGCCCUUUUGUUGGGAAAGAAAAGCAGCAGGUUAAUACGCAGCUGUUGUGACGGUACCCAAAGAAUAAGCACCGGCUAACUUCGUG
rnacentral:rRNA from 1 species